AUUGAACGCUGGCGGCAUGCUUUACACAUGCAAGUCGAACGGUAACAGGUUAAGCUGACGAGUGGCGAACGGGUGAGUAAUGCAUCGGAACGUGCCCGGUCGUGGGGGAUAACGCAGCGAAAGCUGCGCUAAUACCGCAUACGAUCUGAGGAUGAAAGCGGGGGACCGUAAGGCCUCGCGCGAUCGGAGCGGCCGAUGUCAGAUUAGGUAGUUGGUGGGGUAAAGGCUCACCAAGCCAACGAUCUGUAGCUGGUCUGAGAGGACGACCAGCCACACGGGGACGGAGAAACGGCCCAGACUCCUACGGGAGGCAGCAGUGGGGAAUUUUGGACAAUGGGCGAAAGCCUGAUCCAGCAAUGCCGCGUGCAGGAAGAAGGCCUUCGGGUUGUAAACUGCUUUUGUACGGAGCGAAAAGGUCUCCUCUAAUACAGGGGGCUCAUGACGGUACCGUAAGAAUAAGCACCGGCUAACUACGUGCCAGCAGCCGCCGUAA
rnacentral:rRNA from 1 species